UUAUAUAUAUAUAUAUCAACUUUCAUUAUAUAUAUAUCAAGUUUCAUUAUAUAUAUAUCGACUUUCAUUAUAUAUAUAUAUCAACUUUCAUUAUAUAUAUAUCAAAUCUUUUUUUCCUACCGAGCCCCGGAAGGGACAUGUCCGUAUGGCGAAGCGACAACGAAGGACACUCACCCGGACGAGAAUUUUAUUGAGUUUUAUUUUAAAAUCGGCCUGAAACACACAGACAUUCAAGCAGUGCGAUGCGCUAAGAGUCUGCCAUGCAGACCAGCGAUCCUGAUAAUGUUGUCGGCCUUGGAUGAUGAGGUCCAGUUACCAGGAGCACUAGUCUGCAGCUUACUGGUUCCGUCCUGCAGCUCCUCCACGCUGUCCUCCUCUCUACAGACCAAAUCAAGAAAAGGGAACCAGGAAGCUGCUGUGGAUCCUCUGCAGUAUCUGGAGAGGUCAGAGGAACGGUUCUUGGAACAGAUCGGAAGACACCAAGACGUGACCUCUGCCAUGCUCCAGAACAUCCAGAAGAUGAAUGAAAACCUUGGUUGCACUGAUGGGACGCAUGGUGUCGGUGCUGGAGCAACUGUCCCAGAAUUAAACUGCAUUGUUGACUAUUGGCUUUUCUAGAAAAUAAAUCUUUUUUAGUACUUCA